CAUGCUGAUGGAUGAAUUGCAGACAGCUAUCAAAAGCAACAGAGGUCAUCUCGCUAAGCUUGGCCCCCAAUUACAAACUGAGCAGGAGCAGUUCUCCUUAUGUAUGUCUGCCAACACAUUAAAAGCCUUCCAGCAAACAGUGUGGUCCCAGGAGGCCUGCAACUCAAGGUUUCUGGCUUGGUUGUGGACCAUUCUACAAAACUACUUGCUAUUGAAAUAAACCAGACAUGAAGGAGGAGAUGAGUCCCAGAAGCAGAUCUUUGGAACAGAUGGCAAUAUUUAUUCUAAGGCUUAUCCUCAGUUUGCCCUGACUUACCUGGAGAACUUAACUGCUC
rnacentral:lncRNA from 1 species